UGGUGAUGUACAUGUUGAUUUGGUAGUGUACAUGUUGAUUUGGUAGUGUACAUGUUGAUUUGGUAGUGUACAUGUUGAUUUGGUAGUGUACAUGUUGAUUUGGUGAUGUACAUGUUGAUAUGGUGAUGUACAUGUUGAUAUGGUGGUGUACAUGUUGAUUUGGUAGUGUACAUGUUGAUUUGGUGAUAUGCAUGUUGAUAUGGUGAUGUACAUGUUGAUAUGGUGAUGUACAUGUUGAUUUGGUAGUGUACAUGUUGAUUUGGUAGUGUACAUGUUGAUUUGGUAGUGUACAUGUUGAUUUGGUAGUGUACAUGUUGAUUUGGUGAUGUACAUGUUGAUAUGGUGAUGUACAUGUUGAUUUGGUGGUAUACAUGUUGAUUAGGAGGUGUACAUGUUGAUUUGUUGAUGUACAUGUUGAUGUACAUGUUGAUUAUGAGGUGUACAUGUUGAUUUCAUGAUGUACAUGUUGAUUUGGUGAUGUGCAUGUUGAUUUGGUGAUGUUAAUGUUGAUUAGGAGGUGUACAUUUUGAUUAGGUGGUGUACAUGUUGAUUAGGAGGUGUACAUGUUGAUUAGGAGGUGUACAUGUUGAUUAGGAGGUGUACAUUUUGAUUAGGAGGUGUACAUGUUGAUUAGGAGGUGUACAUGUUGAUUAGGAGAUGUACAUGUUGAUUAGGAGGUGUACAUGUUGAUUAGGAGGUGUACAUUUUGAUUAGGAGGUGUACAUGUUGAUUAGGAGGUGUACAUGUUGAUUAGGAGGUGUACAUGUUGAUUAGGAGGUGUACAUGUUGAUUAGGAGGUGUACAUGUUGAUUAGGAG
rnacentral:sRNA from 1 species